rnacentral:rRNA from 1 species
GUGGGGAAUAUUGGUCAAUGGGCGCAAGCCUGAUCCAGCCAUGCCGCGUGAGUGAUGAAGGCCCUAGGGUUGUAAAGCUCUUUCACCGGAGAAGAUAAUGACGGUAUCCGGAGAAGAAGCCCCGGCUAACUUCGUGCCAGCAGCCGCGGUAAUACGAAGGGGGCUAGCGUUGUUCGGAAUUACUGGGCGUAAAGCGCACGUAGGCGGACAUUUAAGUCAGGGGUGAAAUCCCGGAGCUCAACUCCGGAACUGCCUUUGAUACUGGGUGUCUGGAGUAUGGAAGAGGUGAGUGGAAUUCCGAGUGUAGAGGUGAAAUUCGUAGAUAUUCGGAGGAACACCAGUGGCGAAGGCGGCUCACUGGUCCAUUACUGACGCUGAGGUGCGAAAGCGUGGGGAGCAAACAGGAUUAGAUACCCCGGUAGUCC